rnacentral:rRNA from 1 species
GACGAACGCUGGCGGCGUGCUUAACACAUGCAAGUCGAACGGAAAGGCCCUGCUUUUGUGGGGUGCUCGAGUGGCGAACGGGUGAGUAACACGUGAGUAACCUGCCCUUGACUUUGGGAUAACUUCAUGAAACUGGGGCUAAUACCGGAUAGGAGCUCCUGCUGCAUGGUGGGGGUUGGAAAGUUUCGGCGGUUGGGGAUGGACUCGCGGCUUAUCAGCUUGUUGGGGGGGUAGUGGCUUACCAAGGCUUUGACGGGUAGCCGGCAUGAGAGGGGGACCGGCCACAUUGGGACUGAGAGACGGCCCAGACUCCUACGGGAGGCAGCAGUGGGGAAUAUUGCACAAUGGGCGGAAGCCUGAUGCAGCAACGCCGCGUGCGGGAUGACGGCCUUCGGGUUGUAAACCGCUUUCGCCUGUGACGAAGCGUGAGUGACGGUAAUGGGUAAAGAAGCACCGGCUAACUACGUG